rnacentral:rRNA from 1 species
AUUGAACGCUGGCGGCAUGCUUUACACAUGCAAGUCGAACGGUAACAGGGUGCUUGCACCGCUGACGAGUGGCGAACGGGUGAGUAAUGCGUCGGAACGUGCCGAGUAGUGGGGGAUAACGCAGCGAAAGUUGUGCUAAUACCGCAUACGUACUGAGGUAGAAAGUGGGGGACCUUCGGGCCUCACGCUAUUCGAGCGGCCGACGUCUGAUUAGCUAGUAGGUGAGGUAAAGGCUCACCUAGGCGACGAUCAGUAGCGGGUCUGAGAGGAUGAUCCGCCACACUGGGACUGAGACACGGCCCAGACUCCUACGGGAGGCAGCAGUGGGGAAUUUUGGACAAUGGGCGAAAGCCUGAUCCAGCCAUGCCGCGUGUCUGAAGAAGGCCUUCGGGUUGUAAAGGACUUUUGUCAGGGAGGAAAUCCCUAGUGCUAAUACCGCUGGGGGAUGACAGUACCUGAAGAAUAAGCACCGGCUAACUACGUGCCAGCAGCCGCUGUAAAAC